CCUACGGGAGGCAGCAGUGAGGAAUAUUGGUCAAUGGCCGCAGGGCUGAACCAGCCAAGUCGCGUGAGGGAUGACGGUCCUAUGGAUUGUAAACCUCUUUUGUCAGGGAGCAAAGGGCGCCACGUGUGGCGCUUUGCGAGUACCUGAAGAAAAAGCAUCGGCUAACUCCGUGCCAGCAGCCGCGGUAAUACGGAGGAUGCGAGCGUUAUCCGGAUUUAUUGGGUUUAAAGGGUGCGCAGGCGGAAUGUCAAGUCAGCGGUAAAAUUUCGGGGCUCAACCCCGUCGUGCCGUUGAAACUGGCGUUCUUGAGUGCGCGAGAAGUAUGCGGAAUGCGUGGUGUAGCGGUGAAAUGCAUAGAUAUCACGCAGAACUCCGAUUGCGAAGGCAGCAUACCGGCGCGCAACUGACGCUCAUGCACGAAAGCGUGGGUAUCGAACAGGAUUAGAUACCCUGGUAGUC
rnacentral:rRNA from 1 species